CCUACGGGGGACAGCAGUGGGGAAUAUUGCGCAAUGGGCGAAAGCCUGACGCAGCGACGCCGCGUGAGGGAUGAAGGUCUUCGGAUCGUAAACCUCUGUCAGCAGGGAAGAACGGUCACUGUGCUAUUCAGCAGUGAAUUGACGGUAACUGCAAAGGAAGCACCGGCUAACUCCGUGCCAGCAGCCGCGGUAAUACGGAGGGUGCGAGCGUUAAUCGGAAUUACUGGGCGUAAAGCGCUCGUAGGCGGUAUGUCAAGUCAAGUGUGAAAUCCCCGCGCUCAACGUGGGAAUUGCCUUUGAAACUGGCAAACUGGAGUGUGUUAGAGGAUAGUGGAAUUCCAGGUGUAGGAGUGAAAUGCGUAGAUAUCUGGAGGAACAUCAGUGGCGAAGGCGACUAUCUGGCACAUAACUGACGCUGAGGAGCGAAAGCGUGGGUAGCAAACAGGAUUAGAUACCCUUGUAGUC
rnacentral:rRNA from 1 species